UGGCCUUAUUAUCAGUGGCUACAGGAGGAUAUGGUUUUGUGCUUCCUAGCUACCAGUGAUUUUCAAAAAAUCCAGGAUGACUUCAAACGUUUCUUUCCAGUUCAUUUGCGUUAUAAAUUUUAUAUCAUCAUUUGAUAUGUACACACACGUAGUGCACAAUUUAAUUACUAAUAAAAAUAUGGGCCUAUGCUUGUUUCUCAGGUAUAUUUGAUCACCCGGCACGCAUGUUGAGCUUUUCAAUGGCAAUAGACCGUGCCUCGAUGCUUUUUGCGGGCUGUCCCCCAAAUAUGGAAAAAAGGAUGAUUUUUCUUGCUGGAAGCCAGUCUCGUAGACCUAUUUGGUACGGAUGCAGUGGAUUAUGGAUCGAAUUUGAAGGGCUUGGGUGUAGCUGUUGAUGUUGUCAACUUUUAUCUAGAGGAUAAGCCCAAAAAUACAAGGAUGGAGCUUGAUGCAUUUGUUGAAGCUGCCAACUCUAAUGACAACAGCCACAUUGAACACGUUAAACCUCGAUCUUCUAUUCCUGAGGUCCUGGACAAGUCUAUUUUAAGAAAGACUCUCAGUUUCUCCACAAGAAGAGCAAAACGGCAGAACCAUGCUGCUGGAGAUGAUAAACAUGUCCGAUCUGAAGCAUUUUCUUUAGAACGUGAGGGCGAGAAGUUGGGCAAGAGGAAGAGGGAGGCAAUCUAUCCUUAAAGUGUUUCAGUGUCGGUCUAUGCUACUUAUUGGAAUUAAUUUUGACACAAGUUUACUUGGUCAAGUUGGUUUAAGUUAGCUAGUAGUAUGGGUUUAAAUAAGAAGAGUGGUAGAUGUUUGACCGAUUCCUAAGCUUGUGAAAUAUAGAUCAUGGAUACAUGAAGUGUACUCUAACCAAAGAAUAGGGCCAUAUCUACCAAGUCUUUAGGAAGUUUAUAGUAUUUUUAUCAUUUUCUGUUAGUCCACGUUGUAGUCUAGUAUGGCUACUUAUAGCCUCUUUCAUGUUUCAAUCUAAUGAGAAGUGUCGUAAGUUUC